rnacentral:snoRNA from 10 species
CAAGCACCUAAACCCAAGAGCUGUUACUUCUUAUAGUACCAGCUUAAAUAGAGGUACUGACAGGAAACACACCUCCUCACCUUUAGGGAGGCUUGCCUGUGGCCCUCAAAGUGAAUUUAGAGGUUUUACAACC